UGUGCUUUGAUCUCCUAGGAGCAGCUGCUGUCUUCCUGCCCUUCCCCAGCCACUCUCAGAGGGCAUAGAAGAAGGUAAGAUACAGGAGCCUGGCCUGCAAAAACAUCACUGCAAUCCUCCUCUCUUUAAAGAUACUACUCACACUGCACAACAAGCAAAAAAGCAAACGGAGAUAAAGAAGAGCUGACUGCAACUAGUCAAGAGACUGUGGCAAAAAUGACUACAGGGAAAAAGACUACAUGGUGGUUUUGUCUGCAUUUUUUGUGCUUUAAAAUGAAAAUCCUAAGGGAUUCCUCUUCAGUCGGUCACUCUGAGUAGCCAAGAGAGAAUAUGGAGAGCACUUACAAGAGUUGUUUAUGAAAUGACAAAUGCUUUGAAGGACCUAUUAGCUUCAGAGAGAUCGAAGGCCUCAAAGGGCAGCUCUAGUAGGAAAGCACAGACACCAGGACUGAAGCUGCUUGUCUCAUCAACAGGAGGAUAGUCCGAACAAUUGUGGAAGACAUCAUCUGCAACGACCCUGUGCAUGGACAAUCCUGGUCCUGACUGCCUAAGCAGACAAUCAGCAAC